AUCUUUGCGCAGUGGCAGUAUCGUAGCCAAUGAGGUUUACCUGAGGCGUGAUUAUUGGUAAUUGAAAACUUUUCCCAUACCCGGCCGUGAUGUCUUGUGAUAUAGUCUGCAUUGGCAAUUUUUGACAGUCUCUAUGGAGA